AUGACGUCAAGUCCUCAUGGCCUUUAUGACCAGGGCUACACACGUACUACAAUGGCCGAUCAAAGGGCAGCGACACUGCGAGGUGAAGCCAAUCCCGUAAAAUACGGUCUCAGUCCGGAUUGGAGUCUGCAACUCGACUCCAUGAAGUUGGAAUCGCUAGUAAUCGUGGAUCAGCAUGCCACGGUGAAUACGUUCCCGGGCCUU
rnacentral:rRNA from 1 species